CGGCGGCUUGCUAAUACAUGCAAGUCGAGCGGACAGAAGGGAGCUUGCUCCCGGAUGUUAGCGGCGGACGGGUGAGUAACACGUGGGUAACCUGCCUGUAAGACUGGGAUAACUCCGGGAAACCGGAGCUAAUACCGGAUAGUUCCUUGAACCGCAUGGUUCAAGGAUGAAAGACGGUUUCGGCUGUCACUUACAGAUGGACCCGCGGCGCAUUAGCUAGUUGGUGGGGUAAUGGCUCACCAAGGCGACGAUGCGUAGCCGACCUGAGAGGGUGAUCGGCCACACUGGGACUGAGACACGGCCCAGACUCCUACGGGAGGCAGCAGUAGGGAAUCUUCCGCAAUGGACGAAAGUCUGACGGAGCAACGCCGCGUGAGUGAUGAAGGUUUUCGGAUCGUAAAGCUCUGUUGUUAGGGAAGAACAAGUGCGAGAGUAACUGCUCGCACCUUGACGGUACCUAACCAGAAAGCCACGGCUAACUACGUGCCAGCAGCCGCGGUAAUACGUAGGUGGCAAGCGUUGUCCGGAAUUAUUGGGCGUAAAGGGCUCGCAGGCGGUUUCUUAAGUCUGAUGUGAAAGCCCCCGGCUCAACCGGGGAGGGUCAUUGGAAACUGGGAAACUUGAGUGCAGAAGAGGAGAGUGGAAUUCCACGUGUAGCGGUGAAAUGCGUAGAGAUGUGGAGGAACACCAGUGGCGAAGGCGACUCUCUGGUCUGUAACUGACGCUGAGGAGCGAAAGCGUGGGGAGCGAACAGGAUUAGAA
rnacentral:rRNA from 1 species